GAAACAUGCAUCGGGCAUUUUCUAAUCAAUUUCUUGAAUUGCUCCCAAGCUUCAUACAAUGUCUCAUCUUCAGAAUACUAAAAAGAUGUAAUAUCGUUCCUCAAUUU
rfam:Gossypium raimondii chromosome 8, whole genome shotgun sequence.